AACUAAAUCCCCCAAAAUUUUGAACACCCGCUUCCUCUUCCUCUCUACUCUCUACACCCGCCAAAUCAACUUCAUUCUCUCCCUUCUUUCUCUCUGCAAACCCCUUCUUCUCCGAUCGACUUUCACUUCCUUCUAUGUGCAAACCCUAAUCAAACAUAACACAUUUGAAAUAGUAAUAUCUUCUUUCAUUUUCUCCCCUACUACUCUCUGUAAAACCUAGCAGCCUCCACCACUAGAAACAUGGAAAAUCCCCCAAAAUUUUGAAGUACCCCGCUCACUCCUCUCAAUAUCUCUUGCGCUUUCGUAUUUAUAGCCAGAGUUGGAGAGCGAAAAGAAGAAAGAAGAAAGAAAUGAUGUGAGGGUGUGAGGUGGCGUUCAAAGGUUGUCAAGGGGUUGUGAGGAGCUAUAGGGCUCAAGUUCGAGGUUGAAGAUUAGAAACCGAAGGUUGAAGAUCAGAUUUGGGAUUAGAUGAGUCGCUGGUACAACUGGCGUCGUCGUGGUGUAGGUCAGAUGAGUCGCCGGAGUCCAGGCCAAGUAACAGUGUCGCUGGAGUUUCGGGAAGCUAACGAUGUCAUCAAUUCGAGUGCAGGUGAUGUGCCGAUUAUUGAUUUUGGAUCAAUUACUAACUGUUUGCCAUUUUCUUUCUAGAAAAUCAAUGUAGUGUCUGCUUCUUAAUCUUGUUCUCUAUGAGUACCAUUGUUACCGUCUCUGGUAAAAACAUCUAACCAUAUGCCAGAUUCGUUGAUUCAGGCUACAAAAGUACCUGUUAAAGAGUAUGAGUUUGAUGAAAAGAAGAUGGCAAAUGUGCAGUCUCAUCUGGAAAAAUUGGUUGCCAAUAACUAUUACUUGAACAGGUCUCCAAAAGAUGCGUACAGAUAAAUAUAUUAUUCAUGAAGUGAAGGCAAGAAUAGUUGAAUGGACAAGGGCAGGCUGGUCAAGACUGGAAGCUUUACACAUUCAUAUCCAUUUUGUUGAAGAUCUGAUACCCCUCUUAUCUACAGAGCAGUUCCCAUGAUGAGCAGUUGCUUGAAGCAGCUUGGUGUCUUACAAACAUAGCUGCUGGAAAACCUAAAGAAACAAGAGCUUAAUUGCCUGCAUUACCUUUACUCAUUGCUCAAAUUGGAGAGUUCAGUGCCUGUUGCAGAGCAGUGUGCUUAAGCAUUAGGAAAUGUUGCAGGAGAAGGUGAAGAACCGAGACAAAUUCUGAUUUCUCAAGGGGAAUUACUUCCUCUUGCAAAAAUGAUGUUGCCAAAUAAAGUUUCAGUUAAUGGGUGAACCAAGUUUCUCUGAAAUGGCGACAGCAUUGUCAGGGCCUCCUUAUAUCUUUGUUUCUACUCCAGCUUGUGUCCAAAGAUGUCUUUCAUCAGGUGUUCUUCAAGCAAAAUCCGUUCAUGAUUAUCUUUCAAUUAUUAUUCUUGAUAAGG